rnacentral:lncRNA from 1 species
UUCAGUAAGGCUGGGGACAGUUUCAGUUUCCUUACUGCAGCACCUCAGAAAAGAUUUCUUUCCCAUCUAAGUAAGGAUCUGGUAUGCUGGAGUCCUGUUCAUGAUGCACUGUGGGACAUCAUUGCAUUGUUGCUUUUUUUAACUGUUUUAAAACCUGAAUGGAUCAGUCUGGCUGGGAAAAGCAUAAAAGCGGCUCCAUCUGCUCCAUAUGUUAGCAAAGAACAACAUCCUGAGAUAAAG